rfam:Schistosoma margrebowiei strain Zambia genome assembly, scaffold: SMRZ_scaffold0002469
ACACUGCUGAGGAGUCCCAAACUAGGACGAAACGACCGUCCAAUGC